UACAGAGGGUGCAAGCGUUGUUCGGAAUUAUUGGGCGUAAAGCGCGUGUAGGCGGCUUUGCAAGUCGGGUGUGAAAGCCCUCAGCUCAACUGAGGAAGUGCGCCCGAAACUGAAGCGCUAGAGUGCGGUAGGGGUAGAGGGAAUUCCCGGUGUAGCGGUGGAAUGCGUAGAGAUCGGGAAGAACAUCAGUGGCGAAGGCGGCCUGCUGGGCUGUUGCUGACGCUGAGGCGCGACAGCGUGGGGAGCAAACAGG
rnacentral:rRNA from 1 species